UUACUCCACAAUAUUUACUGUGGACUUCAGCACACCUGUCAAUUGAGUGUUGAAUUAAAAAGCUUAUUUACCAGAGAUAUGGGUCUAAACCAAAAGCAACACCCCCAAACUAUGGGCAGAAUUUAUAGACAGCAAAUUAGUGUGCUGUGCUGUGCAGUCAUCACCUAAGAUGUUACCACCAGUAUCUCCUUCACCUGCAAUGAGGUCCUUGGCAGAGACAGUCCCAACCCCGACAGUGCAGACAAUAUAUUCAUCACACAAACCUAUUUCUCUGGCAGACAGUGCUGAGACUCUGAGGCGUGAACUCGAGAGAGAGAAGAUGAUGAAAAGACUGUUGAUGACAGAAUUAUGAAAUUCUCACUUCGUCACAUGGAGACUGGAUUGGGGCCUUUCAUGUGCCUUCUGUCUGUUUACAUUCCUCCACUUCUGUGUACUCAACAUAAUGCAUCAUGAAAAUGUGUUAUGUUCCCAGCUCACUCAGAUUCAUCACAGUUGAUUAAAAUUAAGUCUCGGCUUGACUUUAACUUGGAGGAGUUCCUUUAUUCAUUUGCUGCUGGGAAAUAAACCUUCAGUCCUUUAUUUAUCAUGAGUAUUAGGAUUUUCUACUAUUAUA
rnacentral:lncRNA from 1 species